CAGUCGCCACGGGAAUACGUAGGGUGCAAGCGUUAAUCGGAAUUACUGGGCGUAAAGCGUGCGCAGGCGGUUCGCUAAGACAGAUGUGAAAUCCCCGGGCUUGACCUGGGAACUGCAUUUGUGACUGGCGGGCUAGAGUAUGGCAGAGGGGGGUAGAAUUCCACGUGUAGCAGUGAAAUGCGUAGAGAUGUGGAGGAAUACCGAUGGCGAAGGCAGCCCCCUGGGCCAAUACUGACGCUCAUGCACGAAAGCGUGGGGAGCAAACAGGAUUAGAUACCCCCGUAGUCCCUGUCUCUUAUAC
rnacentral:rRNA from 1 species